GCCUAACACAUGCAAGUCGAGCGGAAACGACACUAACAAUCCUUCGGGUGCGUUAAUGGGCGUCGAGCGGCGGACGGGUGAGUAAUGCCUAGGAAAUUGCCUUGAUGUGGGGGAUAACCAUUGGAAACGAUGGCUAAUGCCGCAUAAUGCCUACGGGCCAAAGAGGGGGACCUUCGGGCCUCUCGCGUCAGGAUAUGCCUAGGUGGGAUUAGCUAGUUGGUGAGGUAAUGGCUCACCAAGGCGACGAUCCCUAGCUGGUCUGAGAGGAUGAUCAGCCACACUGGAACUGAGACACGGUCCAGACUCCUACGGGAGGCAGCAGUGGGGAAUAUUGCACAAUGGGCGCAAGCCUGAUGCAGCCAUGCCGCGUGUAUGAAGAAGGCCUUCGGGUUGUAAAGUACUUUCAGUCGUGAGGAAGGGGUGUACGUUAAUAGCGUGNCAUUUGGNCGUUAGCGACAGAAGAAGCACC
rnacentral:rRNA from 1 species